rnacentral:rRNA from 1 species
AACAGGAUUAGAUACCCUGGUAGUCCACGCCGUAAACGAUGUCGACUUGGAGGUUGUGCCCUUGAGGCGUGGCUUCCGGAGCUAACGCGUUAAGUCGACCGCCUGGGGAGUACGGCCGCAAGGUUAAAACUCAAAUGAAUUGACGGGGGCCCGCACAAGCGGUGGAGCAUGUGGUUUAAUUCGAUGCAACGCGAAGAACCUUACCUGGUCUUGACAUCCACGGAAGUUUUCAGAGAUGAGAAUGUGCCUUCGGGAACCGUGAGACAGGUGCUGCAUGGCUGUCGUCAGCUCGUGUUGUGAAAUGUUGGGUUAAGUCCCGCAACGAGCGCAACCCUUAUCCUUUGUUGCCAGCGGUCCGGCCGGGAACUCAAAGGAGACUGCCAGUGAUAAACUGGAGGAAGGUGGGGAUGACGUCAAGUCAUCAUGGCCCUUACGACCAGGGCUACACACGUGCUACAAUGGCGCAUACAAAGAGAAGCGACCUCGCGAGAGCAAGCGGACCUCAUAAAGUGCGUCGUAGUCCGGAUUGGAGUCUGCAACUCGACUCCAUGAAGUCGGAAUCGCUAGUAAUCGUGGAUCAGAAUGCCACGGUGAAUACGUUCCCGGGCCUUGUACACACCGCCCGUCACACCAUGGGAGUGGGUUGCAAAAGAAGUAGGUAGCUUAACCUUCGGGAGGGCGCUUACCACUUUGUGAUUCAUGACUGGGGUGAAGUCGUAACAAGGUAACC